UUCCACCUACGGGGGGCAGCAGUGGGGAAUAUUGCACAAUGGGGGAAACCCUGAUGCAACGACGCCGCGUGAGUGAAGAAGUAUCUCGGUACGUAAAGCUCUAUCAGCAGGGAAGAAAAAAAGUCCUUUGGACUUUGGACGGUACCUGACCAAGAAGCCCCGGCUAACUACGUGCCAGCAGCCGCGGUAAUACGUAGGGGGCAAGCCUUAUCCGGAUUUACUGGGUGUAAAGGGAGCGUAGACGGCAGCGCAAGUCUGGAGUGAAAUGCCGGGGCCCAACCCCGGAACUGCUUUGGAAACUGUGG
rnacentral:rRNA from 1 species